rnacentral:rRNA from 1 species
UACGGAGGGUGCGAGCGUUGUCCGGAAUCACUGGGCGUAAAGGCGCGUAGGUGGCCUGUGGAAGUCUGCGGUGAAAGCCCGGCGCUCAACGCCGGGUCGGCCGUGGAUACUCUCGGGCUCGAGCUUACUAGAGGCAAGCGGAAUUCCGGGUGUAGCGGUGGAAUGCGUAGAGAUCCGGAAGAACACCGGAGGCGAAGGCG